rnacentral:rRNA from 1 species
GUUACCGGCCAUAGGGGCUGUGGAAACACCCGUACAGGGAAAAUUCCCGCGGAACCAUUCCGAACACGGAAGUUAAACGCAGCCCCGUUUCAAAUAGUAGUGUGGUCUUCGGCCACGCGAGGUUUGAAAGCUGGUAACC